rnacentral:rRNA from 1 species
AGAUUGAACGCUGGCGGCAUGCUUUACACAUGCAAGUCGAACGGUAACAGGCCGCAAGGUGCUGACGAGUGGCGAACGGGUGAGUAAUGUAUCGGAACGUGCCCAGUCGUGGGGGAUAACGCAGCGAAAGCUGCGCUAAUACCGCAUACGAUCUAUGGAUGAAAGCGGGGGACCGUAAGGCCUCGCGCGAUUGGAGCGGCCGAUAUCAGAUUAGGGUAGUUGGUGGGGUAAAGGCUCACCAAGCCAACGAUCUGUAGCUGGUCUGAGAGGACGACCAGCCACACUGGAACUGAGACACGGUCCAGACUCCUACGGGAGGCAGCAGUGGGGAAUUUUGGGACAAGUGGGCGCAAGCCUGAUCCAGCAAUGCCGCGUAGCAGAUGAAGGCCUUGGUUGUAACUGUCCUUUUGUACGGAACGAACGGUCCUUUACUAAUAC